AAAAUAAAUGGUAAAAGAGAUACGAACCUUGUCCACAUUGAACAUAAAUUAUUAAUGAACUACGGUUGGAUUAGUGAUAACAUAUCUCUUAAAAAUAAGCUCAACGAGUCCCUCUAAAGACCAAUACUGGUUGCUAGUAGAAACCAAGCCAUAAAAAUAAGAGACCAAGUGGUCCCACCAUAUUACACAUGUUGCCAUCAUUGUAUUAUUUAAAAAGAAUGGUUAAGACGGACCCGACCCAAGAGAUCCAGCGGGUCACCCAUAGACCUAGCUUAAUGAUAAAGCAAUAAGUACAAGACAGGUGGCAACAUCUUAAUUGACCAAGAGGAUGAGAAGAUUCCAUAAAAUCCUACUUUCCCAUCAUAGAUAAGGUAAAAGUUAAGUUACUCAUUCUAACCUUAAUCUCUCUAUCUUGUCUUCCUCUAUCUGACUUAAGCGUAGGAGUGGAACUGCUGGUCUUCCCAUCGAUGCUCUAUUAUCUAGUAUAAAGCUGAAUCUUGAGAAUUGUGUAU
rnacentral:lncRNA from 1 species